rnacentral:misc_RNA from 1 species
UCUCCGUUGGUGAACCAGCGGAGGGAUCAUUAUCGAGUUUAUAACUCCCAAACCCUAUGUGAACUUACCACUUGUUGCUUCGGCGCGCGCUUCGGUGCCGCCGAGGACACUUAAACUCUUUGUUUUUAUAAGCAUUUCCGAGUGCCGAAAGGCAAAAUACAAAUGAAUCAAAACUUUCAACAACGGAUCUCUUGGUUCUG